rnacentral:rRNA from 1 species
AACGUAGGACACGAGCGUUAUCCGGAGUUACUGGGCGUAAAGGGCGUGCAGGCGGUUUGUUUAGUCUAGGGUGAAAGCUCCCGGCUUAACUGGGAGAGGUCCUUGGAUACUGGCAAACUUGAGGGAGGCAGAGGAAAGUGGAAUUCCCGGUGUAGUGGUGAUAUGCGUAGAUAUCGGGAGGAACACCAGUGGCGAAGGCGGCUUUCUGGGCCUUACCUGACGCUGAGACGCGAAAGCGUGGGGAGCGAACCGG